UACGUGUGUCUGUGGAAAUUAUCCGAUUGUUUGAAAUAAUAAUUGCAUGUCUUUCAAGUAAUAUUUUAAGUACUAAUCCAGUAGGAAGUAAAAAUCCAUUUGUAAUUGUAGGAAGUAAUAAAUUCAUUUAUUGGAACCAAUGUGCCCAUUUCUAGGAAGUAAUAAAUCCAUUUCUUGGAAGUAUAAUUUAUUUCGAGAAAGUAAUCAAUGCAUUUUUUUGAAGUAAUGAGUCCAUUUCUUGGAAGUAAUAAUUCCAUGUCUUUCAAGAAACCUUCCAUUUCUUGUAAGUACUAACCAUUUCUAGGAAGUAAUCAAA